AGCAGCCGCGGUAAUUCCAGCUCCAAUAGCGUAUAUUAAAGUUGUUGCAGUUAAAAAGCUCGUAGUUGAAUUUCGGGAUCAAUACGUCGGUCGUGCUUCGGUACGUACUGGCGUCAUUGGUUUCUCCCUUCUGACGAACCAUGAUGUCAUUAACUUGGUGUCAUGGGAAAUCAGGACUGUUACUUUGAAAAAAUUAGAGUGUUUAAAGCAGGCUCACGCUUGAAUACAUUAGCAUGGAAUAAUGAAAUAGGACGUUUGAUUCUAUUUUGUUGGUUUCUAGGAUCGACGUAAUGAUUAAUAGGGAUAGUUGGGGGCAUUAGUAUUCAAUUGUCAGAGGUGAAAUUCUUGGAUUUAUUGAAGACUAACUACUGCGAAAGCAUUUGCCAAGGAUGUUUUCAUUAAUCAAGAACGAAAGUUAGGGGAUCGAAGGCGAUCAGAUACCGUCGUAGU
rnacentral:rRNA from 1 species